AACGAACGCUGGCGGCAUGCCUAACACAUGCAAGUCGAACGAGACCUUCGGGUCUAGUGGCGCACGGGUGCGUAACGCGUGGGAAUCUGCCCUUCGGUUGGGAAUAACUGAGAGAAAUUUCAGCUAAUACCUUAUAAUGUCUUCGGACCAAAGAUUUAUCGCCGAGGGAUGAGCCCGCGUAGGAUUAGGUAGUUGGUGGGGUAAUGGCCUACCAAGCCGACGAUCCUUAGCUGGUCUGAGAGGAUGAUCAGCCACACUGGGACUGAGACACGGCCCAGACUCCUACGGGAGGAGGCAGGGGGGAAUAUGGGAAAGGGGGCAAAAGCCUGAUCCAGCAAUGCCGGGGGGGUGAUGAAGGCCUUAGGGUUGUAAAGCUUUUUUACCCGGGAUGAUAAUGACAGUACCGGGAGAAAAAGCCCCGGCAAACUCCGU
rnacentral:rRNA from 1 species